CAUGCAAGUCGAGGGGCAGCAUGGUCUUAGCUUGCUAAGGCCGAUGGCGACCGGCGCACGGGUGAGUAACGCGUAUCCAACCUGCCUUACACUCUUGGACAGCCUUCUGAAAGGGAGAUUAAUACAAGAUGUUAUCAUGAGUAAGCAUUUUCGCAUGAUUAAAGGUUUACCGGUGUAAGAUGGGGAUGCGUUCCAUUAGAUAGUAGGCGGGGUAACGGCCCACCUAGUCUUCGAUGGAUAGGGGUUCUGAGAGGAAGGUCCCCCACAUUGGAACUGAGACACGGUCCAAACUCCUACGGGAGGCAGCAGUGAGGAAUAUUGGUCAAUGGACGAGAGUCUGAACCAGCCAAGUAGCGUGAAGGAUGAAGGUUCUAUGGAUUGUAAACUUCUUUUAUACGGGAAUAAACGGAUCCACGUGUGGAUUUUUGCAUGUACCGUAUGAAUAAGGAUCGGCUAACUCCGUGCCAGCAGCCGCGGUAAUACGGAGGAUCCGAGCGUUAUCCGGAUUUAUUGGGUUUAAAGGGAGCGUAGAUGGGUUGUUAAGUCAGUUGUGAAAGUUUGCGGCUCAACCGUAAAAUUGCAAUUGAUACUGGCAGUCUUGAGUACAGUUGAGGUAGGCGGAAUUCGUGGUGUAGCGGUGAAAUGCUUAGAUAUCACGAAGAACUCCGAUUGCGAAGGCAGCUUACUAACCUGUAACUGACAUUGAUGCUCGAAAGUGUGGGUAUCAAACAGGAUUAGAUACCCUGGUAGUCCACGCCCUAAACGAUGAGUACUAAGUGUAGCCAGAAGGCUGUGCUGAA
rnacentral:rRNA from 1 species